UGGCUCAGUUGGUAGAGCAUGGUGUGCAACGCCAGGGUUGUGGGUUCGAUUCCCAC
rfam:Salmo salar isolate Sally breed double haploid chromosome ssa11, whole genome shotgun sequence.